GAUGAACGCUGGCGGCGUGCCUAAUACAUGCAAGUAGAACGCUGAAGGAGGAGCUUGCUCUUCUGGAUGAGUUGCGAACGGGUGAGUAACGCGUAGGUAACCUGCCUGGUAGCGGGGGAUAACUAUUGGAAACGAUAGCUAAUACCGCAUGACAACAGUUAUUGCAUGAUAACUGUUUAAAAGGGGCAACUGCUCCACUACCAGAUGGACCUGCGUUGUAUUAGCUAGUUGGUGAGGUAACGGCUCACCAUGGCGACGAUACAUAGCCGACCUGAGAGGGUGAUCGGCCACACUGGGACUGAGACACGGCCCAGACUCCUACGGGAGGCAGCAGUAGGGAAUCUUCGGCAAUGGACGGAAGUCUGACCGAGCAACGCCGCGUGAGUGAAGAAGGUUUUCGGAUCGUAAAGCUCUGUUGUAAGAGAAGAACGAGUGUGAGAGUGGAAAGUUCACACUGUGACGGUAGCUUACCAGAAAGGGACGGCUAACUACGUG
rnacentral:rRNA from 1 species